CACCGCGGUUAAACGAGAGGCCCAAGUUGAUAAAUGCCGGCGUAAAGCGUGGUUAAAAAUAUAAAAUACUAAGGCCGAAUACUUUUAGGACUGUUAUACGUAUUCAAAAGUUAGAAGCCCAACUACGAAGGUGGCCUUAAUAAAGUUGAACCCACGAAAGUUAAGACA
rnacentral:rRNA from 2 species